AGAGGAAGAGGUCAACAACCGGCUUUUGUGCCGACGCACGGGAUUCUGGCUCCGAUGGCGGCUCCGAUGCAUCAUUCGGGAGAGUCGACGAGGCAGAUGGCCUCGGAAGCCAGGCAGACGGCCAUGAAGUUCACCAACGAUGCCAAUG
ensembl:ncRNA Y48B6A.25 ncRNA